rnacentral:rRNA from 1 species
UUGGUUAAGUUAGAAAGGGCGCACGGUGGAUGCCUUGGCACUAGGAGCCGAAGAAGGACGGGACUAACACCGAUAUGCUUUGGGGAGCUGUACGUAAGCGUUGAUCCAGAGAUUUCCGAAUGGGGGAACCCACUAUCUUUAGUCGGAUAGUAUCCUUACGUGAAUACAUAGCGUGAGGAAGGCAGACCCAGGGAACUGAAACAUCUAAGUACCUGGAGGAAGAGAAAGAAAAAUCGAUUUCCUGAGUAGCGGCGAGCGAAACGGAAAGAGCCCAAACCAAGAAGCUUGCUUCUUGGGGUUGUAGGACACUCUAUACGGAGUUACAAAAGAAAGUUAUAAAUGAAGCGGUCUGGAAAGGCCCGCCAAAGACGGUAACAGCCCGGUAGUUGAAAUGGCUUUCCCUCCAGAGUGGAUCCUGAGUACGGCGGAACACGUGAAAUUCCGUCGGAAUCCGGGAGGACCAUCUCCCAAGGCUAAAUACUCCCUAGUGACCGAUAGUGAACCAGUACCGUGAGGGAAAGGUGAAAAGCACCCCGGAAGGGGAGUGAAACAGUUCCUGAAACCGUGUGCCUACAAGUAGUUAGAGCCCGUUAAUGGGUGAUAGCGUGCCUUUUGUAGAAUGAACCGGCGAGUUACGAUUUGUUGCAAGGUUAAGCGGAAAAAGCGGAGCCGUAGCGAAAGCGAGUCUGAAUAGGGCGCAUAAGUAACAGGUCGUAGACCCGAAACCAGGUGAUCUACCCAUGUCCAGGAUGAAGGUAAGGUAAUACUUACUGGAGGUCCGAACCCACGCACGUUGAAAAGUGCGGGGAUGAGGUGUGGGUAGCGGAGAAAUUCCAAUCGAACUUGGAGAUAGCUGGUUCUCUCCGAAAUAGCUUUAGGGCUAGCCUCGAGGUAAAGAGUCAUGGAGGUAGAGCACUGUUUGGACUAGGGGCCCUUCUCGGGUUACCGAAUUCAGAUAAACUCCGAAUGCCAUGUACUUAUACUCGGGAGUCAGACUGCGAGUGAUAAGAUCCGUAGUCGAAAGGGAAACAGCCCAGACCACCAGUUAAGGUCCCCAAAUAUAUGUUAAGUGGAAAAGGAUGUGGGGUUGCUUAGACAACCAGGAUGUUGGCUUAGAAGCAGCCACCAUUGAAAGAGUGCGUAAUAGCUCACUGGUCGAGUGACCCCGCGCCGAAAAUGUACCGGGGCUAAACAUAUUACCGAAACUGUGGAUGAACCUCUUUAGAGGUUCGUGGUAGGAGAGCGUUCUAAGGGCGGUGAAGUCAGACCGGAAGGACUGGUGGAGCGCUUAGAAGUGAGAAUGCCGGUAUGAGUAGCGAAAGAAGGGUGAGAAUCCCUUCCACCGAAUAUCUAAGGUUUCCUGAGGAAGGCUCGUCCGCUCAGGGUUAGUCGGGACCUAAGCCGAGGCCGAUAGGCGUAGGCGAUGGACAACAGGUAGAGAUUCCUGUACCAGUGCUAAUUGUUUAACCGAUGGGGUGACACAGAAGGAUAGGGAAUCGCACGAAUGGAAAUGUGCGUCCAAGCAGUGAGUGUGAGAAGUAGGCAAAUCCGCUUCUCGCGAAGCAUGAGCUGUGAUGGGGAAGGAAAUUAAGUACGGAAGUUCCUGAUUUCACGCUGUCAAGAAAAGCCUCUAGGAAGAGUAGUACUGCCCGUACCGCAAACCGACACAGGUAGAUGAGGAGAGAAUCCUAAGGUGAGCGAGAGAACUCUC